AGAAGCCAACGAAGAACAGCAAAAUACAGCACUCGAGAAUACGACUGCAGGAGUUCAGCACAUGCUGCCCCCAGAUUUGCUGCUUUGGUAUGUUGAUUAUUUUGAGCUGUAGGCACUUGGAAAACAGCAACUGCAGGAAGAGAAUUUUUCUGAACCCUUUAUCUGUCUAAAGACAGAUCCCCCAAAAGUAACUCAGACGUCAUAGACCCCUACCCGGGAGUUUCAUCAACGUGGGAAGAAUCAGCUCCCAGACCAACUCCAACACGGACUAUCAUACCUGCCAUCUGCUCUCCCAAAGGCCCCUGUCAUCUGCAUAAAAAUCACUUUGCUCUCCCCUAAGACGCUUGGAUCCCCGCUUCCCUUCCCUAUUAAGAUGGUAUUUAAGCCUGAAUUCUAAGCCACCUCAAAGAGUUCCUCCCUUUUCCCUGGGUAUCUACCAUGUACACUCAGCCUUCCAUAUCCAUGAGUUCCCCACUCAUGGAGUCAACCAACUGGGGAUUAAAAGUAUUCGAAAAAUUUAUCCAGAAAGUUCAAAAAAGCAAAACUGGAAGUUUCCAUGUACUGGCAACUAUUUGCAUAGAAUUUACAUUGUAUCUACAACUAUUCCUAUAGUAUCUAUGUUGUGUUAGUUAUAUUGUAACUAAUCUAGAGAUAAAGUAGACUAGAGGAUGUGUGUAGGUUAUAUCCAAAUUCUUCAUUUUACAUAAGAGACUUGAGCACCUGUGGAUUUUGGCGUGUGUGGUGGGGGACGUCCCCUUGGAUACGGAGGAAAGAGGGUCUACGUGAAAUUCACAUGCCAGUAACCUGUCUUGUUUUCCUCUUGUGAAUCUGUCAUCACAGGGGUCUCAGCCAAGCGUUCAGAAGGUGGAGGGGAAAUCCACCCCCCCUGACCCACGCUGACCUCAAGCUUCCUUAUCUUUUGUUAUAUUCUCCCAGUAGUUGCAGUCUUCUAUAGACAUCCGCCGUGAAGAGGUAUCCAGAAGGUAGCUCGUUAAUCCUUUCCCAGCCCAGUGGCGUGCCAAUGGCGGGAGCCCUGCCCUUCUUCAAGGACUCCUCAAGGGGACCUGGACUGUUGUUACCUACACACAGUAUUUACGUGGUAUGUACAUGGAUCUUUGUUUUCCAUCAUUAAUACCAAAAAUGACCUUGGACCUGCAUCCUGAUUUCUUUGUCGGAAUUUCCACCUUUUCCUUUUUCGAUUUUCCCUCUUACUUUCCAGGUUGCACAUUCCAGGCCCCUGUCCCCACUUCCAAAAUGCCCUGGUCUAAUCUACUUUCCUCCUGCUGCAUCUGACUCCCUUGUCUGAAUUACCUCUUGUCUCCUGAGAUGAGACUAAACAUGAGAAUCUUUUCACAGAGCAAACCCCUUUUUGCAGAGGAAGCAACAGUCUUGAUGAAGAGUCUUGGUCAAAAUCAUACACUGAGGCACAAAGUGAGUUUAGGACUUCUGACUCCCAGGCAACCUAUGGGAAUCGCAGGCCACAGGGUUCUUAAAAAGUAAAACAUCAAGUCUGGCUAGAAGUGCAAAGAUGGACGCAAUGGUCUUUCAAGAAGCCUUUCGGUCUGAAUGUAUUUUCUAAUAAUAUAUCGUUAGGAUUAUAUGGUGAUUAAGUAAUAUAUCCAGGUUAAGUCUGUGGGUUAUUAUGAUUCAAAACUUCAGUGCACCCCUGGGUAUUUACUGUAGCCUUCAACUCUUGUCUAAGAGUACAAAUACUUCCAUCUGCUACCUGGCAGAUCGAUUUUUGGAUGACAAAAAUUAUUGGGCUAUAGAAGGAGGAUCAAAAAUAUUUCAUGAUGUUGGAACAGUGGCUUAAUACCAAUAAGAUUAAAUUGAACAGAAACACUCCCUCCCUUCCCCCGAGUUCCAGUCUCUUCCCCAGUGGAAGGACUUUUAACAUUUCUCACUACAUAUGGCUUGAACCCUGCAUUUUCCUUAACAAAUUCCAUAACCCCUGUCCUAUGUCAUUAGAAAUCCUUCAGAAAGAUCAUUUCACAGACACGUCAUAUUUCAUCUUAUGUAUUUGCUCUAAUGUAUUUAUCAUGCUCCUAUUUUGACCAGGGAUGUCAAUGCCAAUUAUAGGCAGACCUCCGAGAUACUGUGGGUCUGCUUCCAGACCACUGCAAUAAAGCGAAUAUCACAAUCAAGUGAGUCAUGUAAAUUUUUUUGGCUUCUCGGUGCACAUGAAAGUUAUAUUUACACUAUACAGCAGUCUAUUAAGCAUGCAAAAGCAUUAUGUCUAAUAUUAUAUAUAUUAUAUUAUACAUAGUUCAAUUUAAAAAAACUUUAUUGCUAAAAAAUGCUAACCAUUAUCUGAAGCUUCAGUGAGUUGGAACAUUUUUGUAAUAGUAGCAUUGAAGAUCACUGUAGCAAAUAUAAUAAUUUAAAAGUCUGAAAUAUUAGGAGAAUUACCAAAAUGUGACAAAGAGACAUGAAUUGAGCAAAGGAUAUUGGGAAAAUGGCACCUAUAGACUUGCUUAAUGCAGGGUGGCCUCAAACCUUCAAUGUGUAGAAACACGACAUCUGGGAUGUGUUUAAAACGAGGUGUGCUUCUAUUUGAUCUUAAAAAUAAUACUACAAUGAUCAUCCCUUUAUAUUAAAAAUAAUUUAAAUUUAACAGGGACAAAUGUAAAGGCCUUUAUUUCAGCUCAAACUCAAUCACACAAUUAUAGAUUCUAUUUGUCUGGUUUCCCAGCAACUUCUAGAAAAAAAAAAAAGCCCUAGGAUAUUUCGGUUGUUGAAAGAACAUUUUUGGAGUUCCCUGGUGGCUCAGCAGGUGAACGAUCAGGCACUGUCACCGCUAUGGCUCAGCUCACUGCUGUGGGUGGGUUUGAUCCCUGGCUCCGGGAACUUCCACAUUCUGUGGGCACAGCUGAAAAGAAAGAGAAUAACAUUUUCAGGAAGAAGAAUUCGAAUUAUUCUGAUGCAGAUUUCAAAAGAUGUGGCCUAGAGCAGUUAAAAAAAAGAAGAAGAAGAAGAAGAAAGAAUGAGCGAGCUUAAAGAGACUGCCUUCUCCCCACUGAGAACCAUGAGAGCAGAAGGGCUGGGUGAAGUCAGAAUCAACCUGAGUGUGAGAUGGCUGGUCCUCCUCCCCUGUCUCCUUGGGUGCUGGGCUUCUUCAAGAUGCCCUCCUCAGCCUCUCGUCAUCUCCUGCCUAUGUUUCCCAUAGGUGAAGUCAUUAACUUCCAUGGCUUAACAGCCACUUACCCAAGCAUGACCUUCGAAUCUCCGUCUCUGGUCCUGACCAUCUGCUUGGACUCCAUUACCAGUCAGAGGAGAGUCUUUUAAACUGUAAUGAAUCAAGAUCAGACUUAAUUAUCUUCCUGUUUUCAUUAGUCAGGACUCCCGGUUGCAAGAGUCAGAAACCCAAUAGUAACUACCUAAGGCAUAAAGGCUAAUUUAUUGGUUCAUGGUAACCAAACUGUAGGACAGACAAGGAUGAAAUUAGCUUUAGGAAAGCCUGGAACCGGGGGCUGAAAGGCCAACAGAACUUCCUUCCUUCUGUCUCUCGCAUCUGCUUCACUCCAUAUGCUAGUUUUAAUUUUUUUCUACCGAAGACCAGCUUUUUCUAAAUAUUAGAUCUCUAGAUUUGCAACUUGACAGAUGCGCCAUGAGGAAAAAAAAAAGGGGGCGGAAGGGGGGCUUUUCCCCUCAUGGCAAUUCAAAAAUUAGACUUUUCAGGGAAGGUCUCAGAUGGGGUCACAUGGCCAUAUUAUGUUGGCCAAACCCCUUGGACAGGGUGGAUAAAAUAAGAAAAUACGAUUGAACUAGCUUGUAUCUGGUAUCUCC
ensembl:lncRNA